UACAGGGGGGGCAAGCGUUGUUCGGAAUUACUGGGCGUAAAGGGCGCGUAGGCGGCCUGCUAAGUCGAACGUGAAAUCCCCGAGCUCAACUCGGGAACUGCGUCCGAUACUGGCAGGCUUGAAUCCGGGAGAGGGAUGCGGAAUUCCAGGUGUAGCGGUGAAAUGCGUAGAUAUCUGGAGGAACACCUGCGGCGAAGGCGGGUUGCUGGGCUGACACUGACGCUGAACUGCGAAAGCUAGGGGAGCGAACGGG
rnacentral:rRNA from 1 species